CCUUUGGAGUGUGAUACCAGACGUUAGUAGAAUGUUGAAUUUUCAACGAAUUUUCAACUUCGAGAACGCACACGAGGAAGAAGGAA
rnacentral:sRNA from 12 species